rnacentral:rRNA from 1 species
GACGAACGCUGGCGGCGUGCUUUACACAUGCAAGUCGAACGGAAAGGCCCUUCUGUUUUGUGGUGCUCGAGUGGCGAACGGGUGAUUAACACGUGAGUAACCUGCCCUGGAGUUUGGGAUAGCUUCAGGAAACUUGGGCUAAUACCGGAUAUAAGCUCCUGCUGCAUGGUGGUGGUUGGAAAGUUUAGGCGGUUGGGGAUGGACUCGCGGCUUAUCAUCUUGUGGGUGGGGUAGUGGCUUACCAAGGCUUUGACGGGUAGCCGGCCUGAGAGGGUGACCGGCCACAUUGGGACUGAGAUACGGAGCAGACUCCUACGGGAGGCAGUAGUGGGGAAUAUUGCCCAAUGGGCGGACGCCUGAUGCAGCAACGUUGCGUGCGGGAUGACGGCCUUCGGGCUGUAAAAAGCUUUCGCCUGUGAAGAAGCGGGCGUGACGGUAAUGGGUAAAGAAGCACCGGCUAACUACGUG